CUACAUUUUAAUUCCAAAUGUUACAAAUACUGGAGAUCGGCGUGAAAUUAAAGCCGCCUGCAUAGUCCUAUCCUAUGGGCCAUGAAGGGCCAGAUGCCACUUCCACCGCUACCAAAGGUAGAUUUCCCAUCCGUAUCACUGGACAUUGCAUUGGGUCCCGAUUAUGCCUAUAGUCCAGGAAUUAAUGUGUUUUGGCUUGCCAUCUGAUGUCACGCUAUGUUUGAUAAUUCGAAUAUUAAGUGGACCCACAUUAGGGAGAAAUUUUUGAAAAACUUCUGAAACGUUCAGAUUUUCAGCUGGGGUGGUCAUGCCCCGUUUCACUUAACAUGGUGUUGUCAGAGGACACAUCCAAAAAUGAGUUUUCCAAGAGAGAAACAAAUAUGCAGUUGGUUUGGAGGUCUUCAGCAACAAUGAAUGUAAGUAAUACGAGUCACUAAACAACCACCUAAUUCCACAGAAUUAAUCACUUAACUUAAAGGAGUAAGGUAUGAAGUUGCAAAAUAGUGCCAGGCCCUGUCGCUGUGAAGGCACAGAUCUAGCCGUUCCAUGGCACUUCUUCUGAAGGCAAACUCCAGUUUCUCUCUGGAAUGUAUAGAUUCCACGUAGGUUAGCACCGGUCAGUAUUAGCUCCCCACAUAGCAGUAAUAUAACUUGGAACUGGCGCGUAUAACGUUGCACUCAUUUUAAUUUUCUGGUAGGCGUUCUCUGGAUUUACCUGGUCUAGAAUGUCCUGACAUUCUGGCAGACACCUGGGCAUUGUGGCAGAUAACUCCGUUCAAUACACUGUUACCAGCCUCAGCCACCAAGAUCCAAUUAAUUCGAUGUUUUCCGCACUCACCGCAGCCGACGGUGCGCCCUUCCCCGCUCUUCCUGCAGCUUCUCCGGCGGUUCCGAGAGCGGACGCAGACCCGCUCCGGGCGGGUGGUGGCUCCUCCGGAGUCGGUGCGAGCGGAGCAGCGACAAAGCGUUAAUAGAGGAACUAAAACCUGGAGAGAGAGCGGGAGAACUGCUAAAGCGGCGAAGAAAGUUCCAACUU
rnacentral:lncRNA from 7 species